rnacentral:rRNA from 1 species
GCUCAAAUUUGAAAUCUUCAAGGUUCUACCUUGACGAAUUGUAGUUUAAAGAAGUGUUUUCUGUUAGUGGAGUGGCAAAAGUUCUUUGGAAUAGGACAUCAUAGAGGGUGAGAAUCCCGUAUUUGGUCAUUCCUUCUAGCUUUGUGAUACACUUUCAAAGAGUCGGAUUGUUUGGGAAUGCAGUCCAAAAUGGGUGGUAAAUUUCAUCUAAAGCUAAAUAUUGGCGAGAGACCGAUAGCGAACAAGUACCGUGAGGGAAAGAUGAAAAGAACUUUGAAAAGAGAGUUAAACAGUACGUGAAAUUGUCAAAAGGGAAGCGUUUGACACCAGUGUUGUUUUUCCGAAAAUCAAUUAUAAAUGUUUUGUUUCUGAGGAGUGAUGACUUCAUCGGCUUCCUUCUCUCUUCACGAAACUUUUGUAAUGCACUUUUCAGUUAACAAG